rnacentral:lncRNA from 1 species
CGUGUGUUUCUUUGUCAAUUGUGUUCUCCAAUUUAUUUAUAUUGUAGUUCUGUGGUGUUGAGUUGUCAUUUUAAUGUUAUAUUUCACAUGGGUAUAAAAGGGGAGGUUUGGCAUGCCACAAAACCAGGUUCAAUCCACCAUUUUUUCCUUUAAAAAUGUCCUGUACCAUGUCAGGAAUAUGGCCAUUGUUAUAUUAUAGUUCGUUUCUGUGUGUGUUACAAUUUAACGUUGCGUCGUUUGUUUUCUCUUAUUUUUGAGUGUAAAUUGACAUUGCGAUAAGACGUGUCACGGUACUUGUCUAUCCCAAAUUCAUGUAUUUGGUUUUGAUGUUAUAUUUGUUAUUCUCGUGGGAUUUUGUCUGAUGCUUGGUCCGUUUCUGUGUGUGUUACAUUGUAGUGUUGUUUCGUUGUUCUCC